rnacentral:rRNA from 1 species
CCUACGGGCGGCAGCAGUGGGGAAUAUUGCACAAUGGGCGAAAGCCUGAUGCAGCAACGCCGCGUGGGCGAUGAAGGCUUUCGGGUCGUAAAGCUCUGUCCUCAAGGAAGAUAAUGACGGUAUUUGAGGAAGAAGCACCGGCUAACUACGUGCCAGCAGCCGCGGUAAUACGUAGGGGGCUAGCGUUAUCCGGAAUUACUGGGCGUAAAGGGUGCGUAGGUGGGUUCUUAAGUCAGAGGUGAAAUGCUACGGCUCAACCGUAGUAAGCCUUUGAAACUAGGGAACUUGAGUGCAGGAGAGGAGGGUGGAAUUCUUGGUGUAGCGGUGAAAUGCGUAGAUAUUAGGAGGAACACCAGUUGCGAAGGCGGCUCUCUGGACUGUAACUGACACUGAGGCACGAAAGCGUGGGGAGCAAACAGGAUUAGAUACCCUUGUAGUC